AAUAAAAUAAAAUGGCAGGGCAGAGGAAGGGGGAGGAAAGGGUUUGCCAGACUCUGGCUAUUAUAUAAGAAUCUUUCUGAUUGUUUUGACGUGCUGCACUUGUGUUCAGCACAGCUUAAUUAUUAAAUUGUGUGUUGAUGCCUCAGAAGCAUGAGAUGCCAAGGUUUAUUUUUAAAGCUGAAAUUCUGUUUGGGUGUGCAGCUCGUUUCUUUGAAUUAAUUCAGCUGCAGUGUGUGCUGUGCUUUCUGUCAUCUGCAUUACAAUACCAGUGACUUCCUAGCCUGUGUGGGCACCUAGCCAGAGAGACAGAGUAACCCCACUGUCUCUCUGUUCUUUCAGUGCCACUUCAAUGGACUAUUGCUGUCAGCAGUAAAAGUACAAUAAAUUGAAGGUCUUUCUCUUGCAGAAAUCCUAUGAUAGAAUUAAGGAGUACUGUAAUAUUUUACAGGAGACUGAGGCCAUCUGUUAACAUCCAGCUGGAUGGCUUUUGGUCUAAGAAAGUAGGAAUGCAUCUUGUGACUAUCUAUUUGGGUGUUUUCUUCAGCUGUCUUUCCCAUUGUUAAUCUUUCAGUAAUUACAUUCAGUGUCACUGAGCGGUCAGAGCAAUUUCCUCUCUCAGGUCAAACCUUAGGGGUUAUGCUUUUAAUUUAUUUAACAAAUUACCAGCUUGCUCAGUUAAAAUAAAGUCCUGUUAAGUCUUACACAGAGAGAAGGUAAAGAGGAGGAAGAUUAGAAUGGUGAAGGCAUUUCUGUUUAAAAAGGUCAAAUUUAGGGCUCAGAUGCCAUACAUCUAAGUAAAGAGCAACAGGAAGGCUAGCAAUCAUUGAAAGUUAACCAUAGCAUGGUAUUUCCUGACCCAUGUAUUCUGUCACUGCAAAAGGCAGACCACCUAUUUUGCAAUAUAUCUCAGAUACAGUCUUCAUAUGGUUCACCCUUCACCCCACAUAUUUAUUUUGCACAUCAAAAGUGUUGCCAAAGCUGGUGUGAAAUACUUGUCCACCUUCACACUGCCUUUCUCUGUUGUAACAACAGCUUGGUGCUGUUCAGUGCACUUCAGAACUGCCGUAGCUAGUCAGAGACAACUCUGAUCAGUGGGAUCAAAUACAGAAAAAAAACAAAGGACCAAGAAGCACAUCAACUAACACAUGUCAGCAGAAAUCACUAUGCUUUUGUGACCUCAAACAAAACAGUCUCUGUACCAAGAGAUUAUUUUAAUCAUGAAACUCUUUCAAACAUCCAAAGUGGAAAU
rnacentral:lncRNA from 1 species